rnacentral:rRNA from 1 species
GAUGAACGCUGGCGGCGUGCCUAAUACAUGCAAGUCGAGCGAACAGACGAGGAGCUUGCUCCUCUGACGUUAGCGGCGGACGGGUGAGUAACACGUGGAUAACCUACCUAUAAGACUGGGAUAACUUCGGGAAACCGGAGCUAAUAUCGGAUAAUAUAUUGAACCGCAUGGUUCAAUAGUGAAAGACGGUUUUGCUGUCACUUAUAGAUGGAUCCACGCCGCAUUAGCUAGUUGGUAAGGUAACGGCGUACCAAGGCAACGAUGCGUAGCCGACCUGAGAGGGUGAUCGGCCACACUGGAACUGAGACACGGUCCAGACUCCUACGGGAGGCAGCAGUAGGGAAUCUUCCGCAAUGGGCGAAAGCCUGACGGAGCAACGCCGCGUGAGUGAUGAAGGUCUUCGGAUCGUAAAACUCUGUUAUUAGGGAAGAACAAAUGUGUAAGUAACUAUGCACGUCUUGACGGUACCUAAUCAGAAAGCCACGGCUAACUACGUG